GAUGAACGCUGGCGGCGUGCUUAACACAUGCAAGUCGAAMGAAGCACUUUACCGGAUUUCUUCGGGAUGAAAGUUUUGUGASUGAGUGGCGGAYGGGUGAGUAACGCGUGGGUAACCUGCCUCAUACAGGGGGAUAACAGUUAGAAAUGASUGMUAAUAYCGCAUAAGACCACAGGAUUGCAUGAUCCGGUGGUAAAAASUCCGRUGGUAUGAGAUGGACCCGSGUMKGAUUAGGUAGUUGGUGGGGUAACGGCUCACCAAGCCGACGAUCAGUAGCCGACCUGAGAGGGUGACCGGCCACAUUGGGAYUGAGACWCGGCCCAAACUCCUACGGGAGGCAGCAGKGGGGAAUAUUGCACAAUGGGGGAAACCCUGAWGCAGSGACGCCGCGUGAGCGAUGAAGUAUUUCGGUAUGUAAAGCUCUAUCAGCAGGGAA
rnacentral:rRNA from 1 species